UACGAAGGGGGCUAGCGUUGUUCGGAAUUACUGGGCGUAAAGGGCGCGUAGGCGGCGUGUCAAGUCAGGUGUGAAAGCCCCGGGCUCAACCUGGGAACCGCGCUUGAGACUGGCAUGCUCGAGUUCGGGAGAGGAUGGUGGAAUUCCCAGUGUAGAGGUGAAAUUCGUAGAUAUUGGGAAGAACACCGAUGGCGAAGGCAGCCAUCUGGACCGACACUGACGCUGAGGCGCGAAAGCGUGGGGAGCAAACAGG
rnacentral:rRNA from 1 species